UGGGCGGGGAAGAGCGGCCGUAGUUGUAACCAGCGGCUCCCGUUACGUAAAGUAGUGAAGUGUCAGCGCUUUUCCCGCCACAGCUUUCAGUGCCCCUUCGGUUUGCAGUCGGGCUCACAGGCCCAGGAAGGGAAAGACAUGCCCAGAAGGGAUUUCCUGAUGUAGCAGUGAUUCUUUCUUCAGGACUCACAUAUACUGCAGGCCUCUUGAGAAGUAAGUGCCUGAACCCUUGUUGAUAAUGCUGCGGGAGAAAAUGUGCUGGAAACAGCCUGUGAAAAGGCAGCGAGAAGAGUGAAACACAGGGAACCGGGAACGCAGCACAGAAAAAGAGAGUGCCUGACGCCAUCACCACUAAAGAGAUGUUUGCUGAAUGAAUGAACUGCUUAUAGUUUGAUGCUUCCACAAGUUGUCCCAUAACCUGUGUCUGCUGGUGCUUUUCCUUUGCCUAGAAUACCUUUCCCUUCCUCACCUGGCUCAUUCCUAAAGACUCAUCCGUCACAGGAAAUGAAGCAAGAAUCCACAGAUGUCAUUAUCCAUCUGCACGCUUUUGUUUACUACCCAGAAGGCAAGAAUAUUGCAUCUUAAAAGUGUCCGGACUUUUGUUCUUUCUUAUCACAAAUGACUUGAGAAGAUCUGACCAUUCACAGUUACCCAGAGUGGAAGUGCCAAAGACAUGCUUCCUGGAGCGCUUUGAGAUUCAGGUACAAAAGGCAUUUUAUAAGCACAGAGUGAAAAAGCAUCAUUUAUAUUCAUUUGCUGCUGUGGCAUUUCUCUCUGGAAUCCUCCUCAUGUCUGUCAACAUUGUGCAAAAGGACUGGGCUCAUCUACAUUACAAAUAUCUCUCCUUUAAUGGUCUGGAAGUAGGAAAGGGACUGCGUAAGAGUGUGCUCUCAUGUUGGAGGGUCUCCCGCUUGUUUAUCCCUAAAACUGGUUGGACAUGGUCGCUGUGGAUGUCAUGAAUUAUUUUGGAAAGACCUGAGUAUGAACUCAGUACAGUGCUUUGUGCAUCUUGGCUGCAGUGAAUGUGUAUUAUCUGACUUCAGUGACUCAUGGGAGAAUCACAGCCUUAGGGAAGAGCUUCUGAGGGGUCAUUUAGAAUGGAGCCAUUCUGGACGGACGGUGGUCAGUUCUCUACUAGCUUCCGGAGUGGAGAAGUUUCCACCAUGAUGGCUCCUUUGACCCGUGGCAGAUCCUUUCUUGCAGGGUCCCUGCUUGGUAUGAUUUGAGAAGCAUCAAGGACUUUCUGCCCCAGAAGAUCUCGGUGUGUGACAUCACACACAUGGAUAAGGGUUUGCCAACUGUAUUAGUUAAAGUAGAGCCUGGCUUGGAGGGGCUCCCAUGCCCCUCUGGGAAUGUUCUAGAACAUGGGGCAUUACCCAAGAGACAGAGCCUGGGAUGGUGUUACUCAGGUCAAAGGUCUGAGCGUGGGGGGCCAUAUAAAUGAGUGGUGGGGUGGUGUGUAUAGAUGCAGGAGAGGUGCUUGGAGAGCAGGAGUGCUGCUACCAGGAGAGAUGGUUCCCAAAGGGAGAGACCCAUGUGCCAAGCCCUUCUCUUUUUCCUCUGCCCAGGGUCCCUUCUGAAUCUGCAAAUCAGCUGCUGCUUCUCCUCCUCCUUUGCCUUCUUCUUCAAAUCUUUUCAUCACAAAAAUUUCAAAUAUAUACCUAAGCAGAGAGAGCAGUAAAAUGAACCCCCAUGUACCCAUCACCAUUAUCCACCUUGAAAAAUGACCAACACCAUCCAGUCUCCUUCCACACACCCUCCCCUUCCUCAGAUGAUUAUUGAAAUUAGCUCAUACUUUUUUUAAAAAAAUAAAUUUAUUUGUUUA